UACGUAGGGUCCGAGCGUUGUCCGGAAUUAUUGGGCGUAAAGAGCUCGUAGGCGGUCUGUCGCGUCGGCUGUGAAAACACGGGGCUCAACUCCGUGCCUGCAGUCGAUACGGGCAGACUAGAGUUCGGUAGGGGAGACUGGAAUUCCUGGUGUAGCGGUGAAAUGCGCAGAUAUCAGGAGGAACACCGGUGGCGAAGGCGGGUCUCUGGGCAGUAACUGACGCUGAGGAGCGAAAGCGUGGGAGCAAACAGG
rnacentral:rRNA from 1 species